CUCAGGAUGAACGCUAGCGGCAGGCUUAACACAUGCAAGUCGAGGGGUAUAGUUCUUCGGAACUAGAGACCGGCGCACGGGUGCGUAACGCGUAUGCAAUCUACCUUUUACAGAGGGAUAGCCCAGAGAAAUUUGGAUUAAUACCUCAUAGUAUGUGAGAAUCGCAUGGUUUUCACAUUAAAGUUCCAACGGUAAAAGAUGAGCAUGCGUCCCAUUAGCUAGAUGGUAAGGUAACGGCUUACCAUGGCGACGAUGGGUAGGGGUCCUGAGAGGGAGAUCCCCCACACUGGUACUGAGACACGGACCAGACUCCUACGGGAGGCAGCAGUGAGGAAUAUUGGACAAUGGGCGCAAGCCUGAUCCAGCCAUGCCGCGUGCAGGAUGACGGUCCUAUGGAUUGUAAACUGCUUUUGUACAGGAAGAAACACUCCCUCGUGAGGGAGCUUGACGGUACUGUAAGAAUAAGGAUCGGCUAACUCCGUGCCAGCAGCCGCGGUAAUACGGAGGAUCCAAGCGUUAUCCGGAAUCAUUGGGUUUAAAGGGUCCGUAGGCGGUUUAAUAAGUCAGUGGUGAAAGCCCAUCGCUCAACGGUGGAACGGCCAUUGAUACUGUUAAACUUGAAUUAUUAGGAAGUAACUAGAAUAUGUAGUGUAGCGGUGAAAUGCUUAGAGAUUACAUGGAAUACCAAUUGCGAAGGCAGGUUACUACUAAUGGAUUGACGCUGAUGGACGAAAGCGUGGGUAGCGAACAGGAUUAGAUACCCUGGUAGUCCACGCCGUAAACGAUGGAUACUAGCUGUUGGGAGCAAUCUCAGUGGCUAAGCGAAA
rnacentral:rRNA from 1 species